rfam:Delta proteobacterium NaphS2 ctg_1101087565998, whole genome shotgun sequence.
UAUCGUCGCUAGGGGUGGUAUUGCUGAGAGCCGGAUCGGAUUUGAACAUCCUGCAACCCUUAGAACCUGAACUGGAUAAUGCCAGCGAAGGGAAGCGGCGCAGUCGUGAA